GCUUGUCUCAAAGAUUAAGCCAUGCAUGUCUAAGUGUAAAUAAGUCUAUACUGUGAAACUGCGAAUGGCUCAUUAAAUCAGUUAUCGUUUAUUUGAUGAUCUCUUACUACUUGGAUAACCGUAGUAAUUCUAGAGCUAAUACAUGCCAUAACCGUAAGGUUGUAUUUAUUAGAUAUUCCUGGUAGGUGAUUCAUAAUAACUUAGCGAAUCGUGACUCGUUCACGAUAAAUCAUUCAAGUUUCUGCCCUAUCAUGCUUUCGAUGGUAGUGUAUUGGACUACCAUGGCUCUCACGGGUAACGGAGAAUUAGGGUUCGAUUCCGGAGAAGGAGCCUGAGAAACGGCUACUACAUCUAAGGAAGGCAGCAGG
rnacentral:rRNA from 1 species